CUCGCCUAACUAGCAUUUUCACCUGAUCAGGAAGACACCUCUAGAGAUAUACUCAUCGAGUGAAACUUGACUUCCUCCAUGACCAAUCCCCUUUGAGUUUUUUGGAUUUUAAUUAAAAUAAUUUUACUUAGUAAGAGGAUUGACUCAUUGAAUAACCAAGUACCGAAAGUUAUUAACAAAUUAAUUCGCUUAAUCACACUCACUCAUUGACCAAGCCA
rnacentral:lncRNA from 1 species